CCAUGUAGAAAUGAUCAUUGAAAUGCUUGCUUUGGCAUCACAUAGAAGAUUAGCAUGGCCCCCGAGCAAGAAUUACACACCUUUGUGAAACAUUCCAAAUUUUU